AUACGGAGGAUGCAAGCGUUAUCCGGAUUUAUUGGGUUUAAAGGGUGCGUAGGCGGAUGAUUAAGCGUGAGGUGAAAUGCCACUGCUCAACAGUGGAACUGCCUCGCGAACUGGUUGUCUUGAAUGCUCCUGCCGUGGGAGGAAUGUGUGGUGUAGCGGUGAAAUGCAUAGAGAUCACACAGAACACCGAUUGCGAAGGCAUCUCACGAAGGGGUGAUGGACGCUGAGGCACGAAAGCGUGGGGAUCAAACAGGAUUAGAUACCCUGGUAGUCCACGCAGUAAACGAUGAUGGCUAACCGCUGGGCUUAUCAGUUCAGUGGCCAAGCGAAAGCGAUAAGCCAUCCACCUGGGGAGUACGACCGCAAGGUUGAAACUUAAAGGAAUUGACGGGG
rnacentral:rRNA from 1 species